ACAAUCUAAAACAACACUUAAAAAGAAACUAAGAGAAUAAUAAACAAGUACAUUUGUUUAUAAAGAAAAUUUAUGACGAAGAAAUGGUGCCACAAUUCAACACAGGGAAGACUUUAUAUAAGGGGAACUAGCGGAGCUAAAAUCCAGAACAUUCCGGAUCUAAUAUCUGUCUUUUUACCCAGACCAAACUCGUGGAUUUUAAUGGACAAGUACAUUAUAAAUUUAGAAGUAACAUACAAUGAUAUUUUUUAGGCAAAAUUACACUACAGGUCCUUUAUCUUAUUUUUUUGUAACAUUUUGGUCCUUUAUCUUUUUUUUGUAACACUUUGGUCUUUUAUCUUUUAUUUGUAACACUUUAGUCCUUUAUGUUUUUUAUUUGUAACACUUUAAUCCUCUUUUUUGUAACAAUUUGGUCCUUUAUCUUUUGUUAUUUGUAACACGUUGGUCCUUUAUUUUUUAUAAAUAAAUAAGAUAAGGACCAAAGUGUUACAAAAAAAAAGAUAAAGGACCAAAUUGUUACAAAAAAAAGAUAAAAGACCAAACUGUUACAAAAAAAUAAGAUAAAGAACUUAUAGUGUAAUUUUGCCUAUUUUUUAACUCAAACUCCUACUAAAAUGUGCAUCUACAUAUGCCCGCAAGGCAUAACCCAUAGUUGGGAAAGAAACAAAAAUCCAUACAGUGUCUGUCUUGCUUACAUUUUCUAAUAUAUGCUGCAAUUUAAAACAAGAACAAAGAAUGUAUUAGUAAGUGCUUCUAUAUGUGAAAAUAAAUUUAUAACUUGAUAUUUUUUGUGAUGCUUUUUAUUUUUCUAUUCUUUUCGUAUUUUUAUACAAUUUUUUGUUUUUUCCUAUUAUCUUGUAGUAUAUAAAAAAUAUUAAAGAAUCAGCCCGUUUAAGGACAGGUCCGCAACCCAUAUAGCACUUGACUGAGAUAAUAUAUUUAGCGCAUAUUUUUAAUCGGAUUUUUUUGCCCAAUCUGAUUAAAAUCGUGACCCAUUAGAUAUACACUCUCUGGUCAUUAUUUUAAAAAGUAAAAAAAUCACUUGGAAAAUUGAUCUAUGUAACCUAUAUUAUUGACUAAAUACAACAAUUUUUCAAUGAAUAUAAAAAGUUAUUUUUUGCUUAUAAUAAUGACCGGAGGGAGUAUAUUUUAAUGGUGUGUUGGGUAGCUCAACUAGUUUGAACUAAGAGUAAAGGGCCAGGUUCGAGUCUUUACAAGUCCAAGGUUCGAAUUCUGACAUGAAUAACUUUAACUGAAUUCUGACAUGAAUAACUUUAACUAUCAUUGAUACAACUCUAAAUGUGCGUGAUAUUCUGAAUCCGGAAGGGGACUGGAACCAAAGCUACUUGAAUGAGAAUUUGACAACUAGCAUGACCUACCAGAUUUUAGCCAUUCCACCCCCUAAUG
rnacentral:lncRNA from 1 species